rnacentral:lncRNA from 1 species
GGUAUAUAGGAGCACUAUAUUGUAUGUUAACUACCGACGGUAGGUAUAGACAAAUACUGUUGAUAGACGGUAUAUAGGAGCACUAUAUUGUAUGUUAACUACCGACAGUAGGUAUAGACAAAUACUGUUGAUAGACGGUAUAUAGGAGCACUAUAUUGUAUGUUAACCACCGACGGUAGGUAUAGACAAAUACUGUUGAUAGACGGUAUAUACAUUGUAAGAGCACUAUAUUGUAUGUUAACCACCGACGGUAGGUAUAGACAAAUACUGUUGAUAGACGGUAUAUAGAAGCACUAUAUUGUAUGUUAACUACCGACAGUAGGUAUAGACAAAUACUGUUGAUAGACGGUAUAUAGGAGCACUAUAUUGUAUGUUAACCACCGACGGUAGGUAUAGACAAAUACUGUUGAUAGAUGGUAUAUAGGAGCACUAUAUUGUAUGUUAACCACUGACGGUAGGUAUAGACAAAUACUGUUGAUAGACGGUAUAUAGGAGCACUAUAUUGUAUGUUAACCACCGACGGUAGGUAUAGACAAAUACUGGUGAUAGACGGUAUAUAGGAGCAACUACCGACAGUAGGUAUAGACAGAUACUGUUGAUAGACGGUAUCAAAGAGCACUAUAUUGUAUGUUAACCAGCG